rnacentral:ncRNA from 1 species
AAAAAAAUUAAAAAAUUGUUGACAUUAGAUUGAUAGUUUGUUAUGAUAAUUAAGUAAGUGAUUUACAAAUACUAUUAUCGCGGGAUGGAGCAGUUCGG